CCUGGGCCAUACCAUCCUGAACACGCCUGAUCUCGGUAGCUAAGCAGGGUCGGGCCUGGUUGGUACUUGGAUGGAGGACCACCUGGUAAUAUCAGGUGCUGUAAGCU
rnacentral:rRNA from 1 species